GAGGGCUGCUGGGUGGGAAAUGUCUGCAACCGAUGCCCAAACAGGGCUCGGUUGAGAGCAGAGGGACUCUCUUGGUGCUGCUGGGAGGCGGGGACAAACCAGAACGCCUGUGCAGGAGCUCUCCCAGCGGACAAACCAGUGGGAAUCGCUUUCUCUGCUCCCAAGUGGCUAGACGUGGCUUCAGCCCUUCCUUCCUCUCCUGGUCUCUUGCAGAGCCUCAGUAUCUUCCUGGAGGCCUUAGAGGGAGUUCAAUCUGUCAUCCCCAAGGACAAGUUUCUGGCCAUCACCAGUGCCGUGUUCUACCAGCUCUCUGAUGACACCAAGGAGCACAGCGAGGCAGACAGAGCAGAGCUGGCCCACUGCAUCCUGCUGCAGGCCCGGAUCUGCCCAGAGGAAACGGUCCAGUUUCUGCAGUCACAGCUGGGCGCUGACAGGGAGGCUGGAUGCGUGGCAGCCCUGGGUCUGCUCGCUGCUCUGGCUCGCUCUGAUGAGCCCACGAUGACCGAGAAGCUGCCCCAGGUUGUGGAGGCUGUGCAGUGUCUGUGCAGCGACCCCAGGAUCCAGGUGAG
ensembl:lncRNA